GGGAACCGUUACUCGUUCUCUAUCUCUAUAAAAUACAGCACUUACACUACUCUGCAUAUGUCACUCUGCAUAGGUCACUCUGCAUAGUACUCCCGGGUUCACUAAAGUAAGGUUGACCGAUAUUCUAAAAAAUGAUCUGGUCUGGUCUUUAUGCUGCUUCUCUUGCGGGUUUUCCCCGGAUAUGAGAGGUUUUAGAAGGCGUCUGAGGCCAAGUGUGGUGGGCGGUGGGUGGUGGGUGGACAAGUGCAAGAAUGGAGAAAAUAAUCCUCUUUACAUUUGAUCCUUUUUUUCUCACACAUUCCUAAUACCCCUUUGUUCUAUUGCACAAUAUAAACCAAACCUGCCAUGGGGAUAUGUCGUUUUAACGAAUACAUUGCAGGGAGAUUCUGUAGAAGGACAUGUGUAUCGACUGAGCAGCUCCCACAGUGUUUGGUAAUUUGCCCGUCCAGUACAAUCUGUGAAAGCCACAUUUUGGAUGUUUUUUGUCAAACAGCCAGGAAGUAGCUAUGUUGUUUUCUUUAGAAACUGGAAUAGUGAGUUGGAGAGAGGAGAAAAAUAAGUGGUAGGCCUCGCUCAGUUUAUUGCUUAUAUACCAAACAAAGAAUCCUGGAAGCCUGCGCGCGAUCAAUCUUACUUGCUAAAAGGUCUGACAGCUCCGUGCCCUCAGAACACAUUUAAGGCUUCUAACUCUCCCCUGGAUCAAAUGCAGCCAGGAAGCGGCGAGAAACACUGGCCACUCAGAUUAGAACACGUUUCUGUUUGCAAUCACAGCUUUUCUGUCGCUUAAAGGGUGUUUUAAGACAUUAAAAAUACAAGGAAAAUGUAGCAGAUGGGCGAUAAUGCGCGUGAACGGUGAGUAGGCUAAACCAACAUCUCCAUUGCAUUUUUCUUUCUGGAAUUUAUUUUUACGUGUUUACAAAACGUCCAUAUUUUCGUUGGAGCAAACAUUUGGGUUUGUUGGAGGUGAGAAGAGUACGCAAAGGACAGGGCUGCUGAGGAGGAGAAGGAUGGCUUUUGGGAAUUACGCACAGGCUUUGUCUGCAAGGCAAGGAGUGGGUGGCGGCUUUCUGUGAACCCUACUCCGACCUACACACUUUUUUUACAGGGGUAUUCUGGGGGAAUGAUUUAGGACCCCUUUCCCACGGAUGGAAAUACAAUGAACAACAAAUCAUUUUUUUCAAACCAAAACCUUAUUUAUGAUACUGCAGAAGAUCCUCGUGACACUUUUGUUAUUAUGGAUGUGCCGGUGCGGAGGAGGAACGGGAACAAGGCCACCGCAAGAGCUACCGAGUUGCCCACGCGCUAGAGGAGACAAAACACGAGGCCUACAAUGUUUGCGUGAUUUAUUGUCACUACAAAUGAAACAUGUUAUAGAUUAUUAAUGGUAUUACAGAUUAUGAGAUAAUAGGGGAUACAUUUGUUUUCAUAACCUCUAAAGUCCUACCAGUUGUUUUCUAUCUCACAAAUUAGGCUAUUUAUGGGAUAUUAAGGUGUUUAUUAUUACUAUUAUUAUUAUUAUUAUUAUUAUUAUUCCGUCAUUAUUGUAGUUUGUGCCAUUGUGUUCUACGUUCAAAUUCCCUCGAAAUGAAGGUUGAAAGAUACAUUUUUAUUGAAAAUCAUUUAUGUAUUUAUCGAACUGGAGCAGGAUGGAAUGUAUGACAGUGAAACAGAAACUUGGUAAUAUCUCAACAACAAAAAAUAAUUCUAUAACAAAAAAUUAUAAUGUCUGUCCUUCCUUCCAACCUUAUUGCAUGAUUGCGUGAUUUACAAUCGUAGAGAAAUAAAACACCUCCUCGAAGAAAAAUAACACCAACAUAUUAUGUG